UGCGGUACCCGGCUGCAGGUUGUGCAGUGCACGCAAGGAAACCGAGGAAAAGAAAUUAACACGAUGUCAGGCUUUAGACGGAUUCUUGGGAGAAAGUUUUUGAGUUAUGCCGUGUCAGGAAGAGUUUUAGAUGGUUGAGUCAACUUCUCGAUGACUAGCAGGCAGCAACGUUGAGUGAAUAGGAAAUAGGCCGUCCCACGUGGAGAAGUGGUCGAUAUGGUGAAUAGAAAAGGUGGCUGAACUCCUUGGUGGACGUCUGUGAUUGCAGCUCAUCUCCACCAGGCUCUAAAAAACCUUGGCAUGUGCACUACCAGGAUACAGAAUCAUUAUCCUGUGACCACUGAAGGGCAGGCAAGACAUGAAGUAGACACAGUAGUGGAGUGGAACAGAUGGCUGAAUUCCUAGGAGGACAUGCACAUCAACAGGGUGCAAAAUGAAUGUCUACAGCAGCUGAAUUCCAAAGAAGACAUGAAGAUGCCACACCAGGAUGGGAUUCAAUAAACAAAAACGUGGCUGAACUCCUUGGUGGACGUCUGUGAUUGCAGCUCAUCUCCACCAGGCUCUAAAAAACCUUGGCAUGUGCACUACCAGGAUACAGAAUCAUUAUCCUGUGACCACUGAAGGGCAGGCAAGACAUGAAGUAGACACAGUAGUGGAGUGGAACAGAUCACUGAAUUCCAAGGAGGACAUGCACAGCAGCAGGGUGCAAAAUGAAUGUCAACAGCUGCUGAAUUCCAAAGAAGACAUGAAGGAGACACACUAGUGGAGUGGAACAGGUGGCUGAAAUCCUAGGUGGACCUCUGUGAUUGCAGCAUAUAUCUCCACCAGGCUGAUAAAAACCUUGGCAUGUGCACUACCAGGAUUCAGAAACAUUAUCCUGUGACCACUGAAGGGCAGGCAAGACAUGAAGUAGACACAGUAGUGGAGUGGAACAGGUGACUGCAAGAACAACUGAAGUGUCUGUUGCAUACAAAUAUGAUCCUGUUGGUUUGCUGCAGGCUGUUCAGCGAGGCCUUGCCUGUAGUGGCUCUGUUCUUUCCUGUAAAGUCUGCUAGAGAAACCUGAGGUGGUUUGAGGCCCUGUUGUGUCUCCUCCAUGGCAAGGUUAUAGAAACCUCAGACAACUGAUUUGACCAUUUACCCUCUCGAUCAAAUGAAUGGCUGAAACAUUUAUAGAUUGUUUUCUGAUUCAGAUUCAUUCUUAUAGAAUACAACUUGGAUCAUGAUCACAUUGAUAAACAGAUCGAAAUUAAAGAGCUGUGUUUUGAAGCGCCUUAUAAUAUUUAAACUAAUUAAUAUAAAAAUGUGAACAAGAUGACUUAGUCAUUACAUAUAGUGUUUUCCUGACUGGCACCAUAGGGUUACAGCUUGCACCUCAAGGAAGAGUGAAUGUCUAAUGGCUCUGGCUAAUGUUCCAGUACUGGAGGUGGACAUUAAAGAUGAAUAACACAAAUUUGUUUUCUUCUCAGGUGUGUCUUGUGAUGUCCUGGAUUGAGGAGUUUAGUCAAUUGUGUGUGUGACCUAUAAAUACAUAUUUUGCAAUACAAUAAAGAACUUUUCAAGAA